ACUAUAUUUUGACCCAAAAACAUUUUUUUGCACUUUCUUGAAAUUGUGGAAUUUAAUUUCCACAAUCUCUCAAAUAUUAGACAAUUCCAUGGCCAAACAUAUAUUUGGCCAACAUUUUCCCAAAAAUUACCUCCAAAAUAUAAGGCCAAAAAGGUCCUUGCUUGUUCACGUGAAUAUCCAUCAGCAGACAUCACAUGUCGCCAUGGCAAGUGAAGGUACCAAUCAGAAGAAAUUACCAAGAUUUCUUUGCCUUCAUGGAUUUAGAACAAGUGGAGCAAUUUUGAAGAAGCAAAUUUUUGAUAAAUGGCCAACUCAAGUUGUGGAUAAAUUGGAUCUUGUUUUUAUUGAUGCACCUUUUCCAUGUCAAGGCAAAUCUGAAGUUGAGGGCAUAUUUGACCCUCCUUAUUACGAAUGGUAUCAGUUCAAUAAGGUUGCAGUUCUAAUUUUUAUUUUUUCUGAAUUAAAGCAAUAAAGUACUAAAUCUCGGUAGAUCGUGGCGACAAGGCUACCCUGCCACUUAAAAUGACCCAUUGCUUGUUUAGAUGGUAUUCUAAUUGUAGUUAAAGCUUGUUACAUGAGUUUAUGCUAAAUUAAUUGAAAAAGGAAAAGAAAAAAUAUUUUUAUUUUGUUUUAUAACUGUUGUUGUUUUGAACUAACAACAAUAGUAACAAUCAAAUGGAGUCAUAAUUAUGGACUUGUGUUAAUAUAAAAUAUAAAAAAUUCUAGUAAGUUUUAUAAAUUCCUAAAGAAACCAAUAACUAUAUUUUGACCCAAAAACAUUUUUUUGCACUUUCUUGAAAUUGUGGAAUUUAAUUUCCACAAUCUCUCAAAUAUUAGACAAUUCCAUGGCCAAACAUAUAUUUGGCCAACAUUUUCCCAAAAAUUACCUCCAAAAUAUAAGGCCAAAAAGGUCCUUGCUUGUUCACGUGAAUAUCCAUCAGCAGACAUCACAUGUCGCCAUGGCAAGUGAAGGUACCAAUCAGAAGAAAUUACCAAGAUUUCUUUGCCUUCAUGGAUUUAGAACAAGUGGAGCAAUUUUGAAGAAGCAAAUUUUUGAUAAAUGGCCAACUCAAGUUGUGGAUAAAUUGGAUCUUGUUUUUAUUGAUGCAC
rnacentral:lncRNA from 1 species